GAUUUACAUUUGAGUGAGUGGCGAACUGGUGAGUAACACGUGGGAAACCUGCCCAGAAGCGGGGGAUAACACCUGGAAACAGAUGCUAAUACCGCAUAACAACUUGGACCGCAUGGUCCGAGCUUGAAAGAUGGCUUCGGCUAUCACUUUUGGAUGGUCCCGCGGCGUAUUAGCUAGAUGGUGGGGUAACGGCUCACCAUGGCAAUGAUACGUAGCCGACCUGAGAGGGUAAUCGGCCACAUUGGGACUGAGACACGGCCCAAACUCCUACGGGAGGCAGCAGUAGGGAAUCUUCCACAAUUGGACGAAAGUCUGAUGGAGCAACGCCGCGUGAGUGAAGAAGGGUUUCGGCUCGUAAAACUCUGUUGUUAAAGAAGAACAUAUCUGAGAGUAACUGUUCAGGUAUUGACGGUAUUUAACCAGAAAGCCACGGCUAACUACGUGCCAGCAGCCGCGGUAAUACGUAGGUGGCAAGCGUUGUCCGGAUUUAUUGGGCGUAAAGCGAGCGCAGGCGGUUUUUUAAGUCUGAUGUGAAAGCCUUCGGCUCAACCGAAGAAGUGCAUCGGAAACUGGGAAACUUGAGUGCAGAAGAGGACAGUGGAACUCCAUGUGUAGCGGUGAAAUGCGUAGAUAUAUGGAAGAACACCAGUGGCGAAGGCGGCUGUCUGGUCUGUAACUGACGCUGAGGCUCGAAAGUAUGGGUAGCAAACAGGAUUAGAUACCCUGGUAGUCCAUACCGUAAACGAUGAAUGCUAAGUGUUGGAGGGUUUCCGCCCUUCAGUGCUGCAGCUAACGCAUUAAGCAUUCCGCCUGGGGAGUACGGCCGCAAGGCUGAAACUCAAAGGAAUUGACGGGGGCCCGCACAAGCGGUGGAGCAUGUGGUUUAAUUCGAAGCUACGCGAAGAACCUUACCAGGUCUUGACAUACUAUGCAAAUCUAAGAGAUUAGACGUUCCCUUCGGGGACAUGGAUACAGGUGGUGCAUGGUUGUCGUCAGCUCGUGUCGUGAGAUGUUGGGUUAAGUCCCGCAACGAGCGCAACCCUUAUUAUCAGUUGCCAGCAUUAAGUUGGGCACUCUGGUGAGACUGCCGGUGACAAACCGGAGGAAGGUGGGGAUGACGUCAAAUCAUCAUGCCCCUUAUGACCUGGGCUACACACGUGCUACAAUGGAUGGUACAACGAGUUGCGAACUCGCGAGAGUAAGCUAAUCUCUUAAAGCCAUUCUCAGUUCGGAUUGUAGGCUGCAACUCGCCUACAUGAAGUCGGAAUCGCUAGUAAUCGCGGAUCAGCAUGCCGCGGUGAAUACGUUCCCGGGCCUUGUACACACCGCCCGUCACACCAUGAGAGUUUGUAACACCCAAAGUCGGUGGGGUAACCUUUA
rnacentral:rRNA from 2 species